GAUGAACGCUGGCGGCGUGCCUAAUACAUGCAAGUCGAGCGAACAGACGAGGAGCUUGCUCCUCUGACGUUAGCGGCGGACGGGUGAGUAACACGUGUAUAACCUCCCUAUAAGUCUGGGAUAACUUCGGGAAACCGGAUCUAAUACCGUAUAAUAUAUUGCACCGCAUGGUUCAAUAGUGAAAGACGGCUUUGCUGUCUCUUAUAGAUGGAUCCGCGCCGCAUUGGCUAGUUGGUACGGUAACGGCCUACCAAGGCGAGGAUGCGUAGCCGACCUGAGAGGGUGAUCGGCCACACUGGAACUGAGACGCGGUCCAGACGCCUACGGGAGGCAGCAGUAGGGAAUCUUCCGCAAUGGGCGAAAGCCUGACGGAGCAACGCCGCGUGAGUGAUGAAGGUCUUCGGAUCGUAAAACUCUGUUAUUAGGGAAGAACAAAUGUGUAAGUAACUAUGCACGUCUUGACGGUACCUAAUCAGAAAGCCACGGCUAACUACGUG
rnacentral:rRNA from 1 species